UACGGGGGGGGGUAAGCGUUGUUCGGAAUUACUGGGCGUAAAGGGCUCGUAGGCGGCCAACUAAGUCAUACGUGAAAUCCCUCAGCUUAACUGGGGAACUGCGUGUGAUACUGGAUGGCUUGGAUUUGGGAGAGGGAUGCGGAAUUCCAGGUGUAGCGGUGAAAUGCGUAGAUAUCUGGAGGAACACCGGUGGCGAAGGCGGCAUCCUGGACCAAUAUUGACGCUGAGGAGCGAAAGCCAGGGGAGCAAAGCG
rnacentral:rRNA from 1 species